UCCGGUUUGUCACCGGCAGUCUCAUUAAAGUGCCCAACUAAAUGAUGGCAAUUAAUGACAAGGGUUGCGCUCGUUGCGGGACUUAACCCAACAUCUCACGACACGAGCUGACGACAGCCAUGCAGCACCUGUGUUCAGGCUCCCUUUCGGGCACGAAUCCAUCUCUGGAAACUUCCUGACAUGUCAAGGGUAGGUAAGGUUUUUCGCGUUGCAUCGAAUUAAUCCACAUAAUCCACCGCUUGUGCGGGUCCCCGUCAAUUCCUUUGAGUUUUAAUCUUGCGACCGUACUCCCCAGGCGGUCAACUUCACGCGUUAGCUACGUUACCAAACCUAAUAAGGCCCGACAACUAGUUGACAUAGUUUAGGGCGUGGACUAC
rnacentral:misc_RNA from 1 species